rnacentral:rRNA from 1 species
GAUGAACGCUGGCGGCGCGCCUAACACAUGCAAGUCGAACGAUUAAAGCACCUUCGGGUGUGUAUAAAGUGGCGAACGGCUGAGUAACACGUGGGCAACCUGCCCCUCUCAUUGGGAUAGCCACGGGAAACCGUGGAUAAUACCGAAUACUUCGGGACUUCCGCAUGGAAGACUCGAGAAAGCUCCGGCGGAGGGGGAUGGGCCCGCGGCCUGUUAGCUUGUUGGUGGGGUAAUGGCCUACCAAGGCAAUGAUGGGUAGCUGGGUUGAGAGACCGACCAGCCAGAUUGGGACUGAGAAACGGCCCAGACUCCUACGGGAGGCAGCAGGGGGGAAUCUUGCACAAUGGGCGAAAGCCUGAUGCAGCGACGCCGCGUGCGGGAUGAAGGCCUUCGGGUUGUAAACCGCUUUCAGCAGGGACGAGGCGAAAGUGACGGUACCUGCAGAAGAAGCCCCGGCUAACUACGUG